ACAGCUCAAAUUUGAAAUCUGGCCUUCGGGUCCGAGUUGUAAUUUGUAGAGGAUGCUUUUGGUGAGGUGCCUUCCGAGUUCCCUGGAACGGGACGCCAUAGAGGGUGAGAGCCCCGUCUGGUUGGACACCGAGCCUCUGUAAAGCUCCUUCGACGAGUCGAGUAGUUUGGGAAUGCUGCUCUAAAUGGGAGGUAUAUGUCUUCUAAAGCUAAAUAUUGGCCAGAGACCGAUA
rnacentral:rRNA from 1 species